GCCCUGGUGGUCUAGCGGUAUGAUUCUUCCUUAGGGUUAUCGUGAGAUAUCUCGCAAUUCACUGGAAGAGGUCCCAGGUUCGAUCCCUGGCCAGGGCC
rnacentral:tRNA from 1 species